UACGGAGGGAGCUAGCGUUGUUCGGAAUUACUGGGCGUAAAGCGCGCGUAGGCGGCUUUGUAAGUUAGAGGUGAAAGCCCGGGGCUCAACUCCGGAACUGCCUUUAAGACUGCAUCGCUUGAAUCCGGGAGAGGUGAGUGGAAUUCCGAGUGUAGAGGUGAAAUUCGUAGAUAUUCGGAAGAACACCAGUGGCGAAGGCGGCUCACUGGACCGGUAUUGACGCUGAGGUGCGAAAGCGUGGGGAGCAGACAGG
rnacentral:rRNA from 1 species